rnacentral:lncRNA from 1 species
AUCAUAGUGAACACAAUUCAAUAUGACAAAGCAACAUUCCAUAAUUAUAUACAUCAUAAUUUAAUUAUGAAAUAAUGAAUAUGAUCUCAUCAUAUUAAUAUCAUAUAAAAAUUAUAAAUUAUGAUCAUAUCAUAUUUAUAAUAUUACCAUUAAAUCAUUAACAUAUCAUCAUAUGAUUUAAUUCUAACAAGGUGGCUCUGAUACCACUGUAGGGUUUAGUGUC